rnacentral:lncRNA from 1 species
UAAGAAUCACGCUCCUUAAAAAAAUUCACAAGAAUAGAACUUGUUCUUUAGAAAUCAUAUAACAGGUAUUUACAUUAUCUUCUGAACAAGAAAAUUGGAAUCGGAGAACAUGGCCGGUUUAACAUUUGAAGCUUGCAACAGAUCCAACUCUCAACAGACAAUCUAGCAGCAAAAGAAAACUGAUCAUAAAAAAAAUUGAAAAUCAAAGUGAGACAAAUGUUUUGUGCUUUUUCUCAACAAGUUUGUUACACCAUUUUCAAAGAUUGAUUUUCAUCGAGGAGCAUGAAUAAGAUGCACUACCAAUCCUGUAAAAAUAUACAGCGUGAGUAUGUAUUUAUCCCUUCUUAUCAUAAAAGAACAUCAACGACCAGAGAAAAUAUCCAUACCCAANN